CUUUUUUUAGGAAGUUGCAAACUGAGUAUGUUAUGUUCCAGGAAGUGUAACUGAACUCAUGAAUACGCAUACAUUCAUAAAGGAAAUCACAUAAUUAUAUUUGAAUAUGAGUUUACAUCUUUAAGGACAUGUGUACAUAGUAGGGAAGAAGGUAGAUAACAACAACGAAGAGCAUUAUCUUCCAUCCUUUUCAACAACAACAAAAAAAUCUUCCAUCCAAGCUGGGCAGUGACUGGUCAGGUAUGUUAAGCUAUCAAGGUGCUAGCAUUCAUCCUCCAGUGGUUCUCAACUUUAGCAUGAAGCUCACAGAUACAAGUUUGUAGUGUUUUGUGUCCUGGAAUAACCAAUGGAGAACGAUCAGAUAUAUAAGAAAGGCUUGCUUGACACAAAUUGUUUACAAGAUUCGAAAAGAAUCACUUGCUUAGCUUGUUGAAGACUAGUUUUUUUUUACACGGGUAUUUAGCUAGAAGUUGCCGCAACACUAGCUUAGCUGAGUAACUGCAGAACAACCAGCAAGGAACCUUUGUCGCAUGGGAUGACAAGGAUCAAACAGUAGAGCAAUGUCGUAUGGGAUGACAAUGAUAAUAAUGCUGGUGAGAACUAUUUAUCCUAAAUUGCUCUGUCUGGAAUUUUAUGUAACUGCAAACUGACGCCCAUCUAUACUGGGACAGAAGAACAGGGCGGAGAAAUUUUUACAAGGCAAAUGAGCUGGCCACAGCUCACUCCCACCUAUACUUGCAAACAGGAAUUGAAUCCGGGCUCCAACCUCCAAGUGUGCACACACCACGCACUGGCCAACCAGACUAUCUGGUGGUUCCUAAUUUACAGUUUCACGAUAUAUUAAUCGUUUCUCGAGCUGUAUAUAUAAUCUUUUCAAAAAUAUGAAGUCAGGAAUCACCAUGAACAACAAAAAUAGCACAGUGCACUUGAUUAUCAAUACAGAUGCCAGGCAACUAAGAUGAAGGACGUCACACCAUCGGCUACUCUCAUUAUACUCAAAUGAAAUGCUUUGCUUACAGCUCACUGUUACACUUCUUUUAUGAUGACUAUCUAUGGUGUGGUACACAGGUUUUGUACUAUGCUACUGACACAACAAAAAUGUUAAAAAUAAUACUCUAUCGUGAAUUAAGUAUCAAUUGGCAAGAUCCAUUAUUUCACAGAUACACACAACCAUCAAAGGAAUUAAGUAUCAUGCUCUAUCCUGUAACCAUACCAUUGUACAGAAAGAGUGUUUGUCCAGAGCUUCUACCGAAAAAGGCUUUCGCCCCGAUCAUCAAUUACCCAGUACAUACACACGCCACCACAACACACGCACACACCCAGGGCAAGAUACAUAGGCGCUGAGCGGAGCAACAACACCCCUAGCACUACCACCGUGAAGAGAUGAAGCCACAUACGACAAACCAUGGGCUCCAAGGCGGCGCCUUCAGGAAGGGAACGACACCGGAGCGCCGCCACCGCCCGACCCGAGGAUCAGAGUUUCCUCUCGAGCCACAUGACGGGCAAUGACAGCCGCGACGACGCCUUCAAAAGGGAACGAGCUUCGCCGCCGCCGGUCCGUCCAAAGAAAGAACAGGUUUUCACCCCGGCCAACACUCACCGCCACCCAACACCACACCCCGGCUACCAUGCCGCCCACACGGCCAUGGCCACCGGGCAGCACCAAGCCACGGGCUCUGCCCAAGAGCACCGCGCUACCACCACCAGGGCCGCCGCCCCGGCAUCCAAGACCUUGACACCGCCUCACCCGAGACCUGCCGCUACCCCAACCAAAGAGACGAGUGGAAAGGUCCCACCUUUCGCACCCGUGGGCGACCCCCAGCAUCGAGACCCAAUAGGCCGGCCAGAACUGGCAUCCAUCGGCCCGUCCUGCAACCCCGAACGCGAGACGGGCUCGGUCCUGCUGCACCGUGCGCGAGACGAGCUCGGUCCUGCCGCACCGAGUGCGAGACGAGCGAUGGACCACAGCUGGGAGAGGGCCAGCCCUUUGAUGGAAGUAGUGCCCGGACGACGAGGAGAUGGGGCGAAGGUCGAAACGGUCCGAUCGCGGACGAGCCGAAGCCGGAGAAGCCGGCCGCUGCCGCAGUCAGAGCCACCGAGCCACUGUGAAGCCGCCACGACACCAGGAGGCCACCACCAGCCGGACCUCCCUGCGCUGCCACCCACGGCCAGAGCAACGGCCACGCCUGGCCGCUGCCCACCCGCGUCGCCCGGCGAGCUCCAAGCGUCGGAGCCGCCGGACACGCACCACCGAUGCCACACGCCGGAGCGCCAGCCACCACCACAGAACAUGCACGUCCACGCCCUGGCCAACACCACCGGAAGCCCCACCACCCCACCGGAGCAGCACAGCCACCAGCGACACCACCACCACCUUAGCAGGGCUGCCAACCGUCCCCGCCGCCGCCAUCCGCCAGCACCAGCCAGAUCUGGGCAGAGACACCCAGGUCCGCCGCCAGAGCAACCUGACUCCCUGGAGCCCCGCAAGCCGUCGCUGGAGGGGAGAGGGGGGAGAGGGGGGCACUCCUGCGGGCCACCACGACGCCGGGGAGGGGGGCGGAGCAGAGGAAGGUCGCCUGCACGCGGGAGGAGAUGCCGCCGCCGCUUGCGCAACGCGGCCUUUGGCCGGCGACACCACCGGCGGCGGCUAGGGAGGAGAGGCCUAGGCGAGGUGCUGGGGCGGCGGCGCUAGGGUUGCCGCCCGGAGUCGCCAGCGGGAGUGACUCGGGGGCGGGCGUUUUUUCGACUGCACUUGGAAUCGUACCUGUCCCCAGAGCUUCUAAGUGUACAUAACUACACAUGACAGAAUUGAUGCUCAACCGUUCCUUUCACGAUCUAAAAUAUCAACAGUGCAAGCGAACUACGAAGUGAGAUACUAUUUAAAGAUAAACAAGGAUGCUGCAUACACAAUGUAAAUGUAUUUGCAGAUCAAGUUUUAAGACGGCAAAUGCCCAUGUAAAUGAUCAAGUUCAUACCUGCAGAGUGAAAAUGAAGCUAUAUUGUGUGCUUUACUCCCAGGUUAGAGGUAACAUUAUGUUCAAGCAGCUUCAGGUUUGCAGCACUCAGAUCCACAGGAAGAUCAACCUUCUGCGCAACAGCACAAACUGUUAAAUCAGUAGCCAUAUGUUAAUUUUGUCUUGUAAGUCUAUUUCAGUAUUGAAAAGAUGAACGUUUGUUGAAGGAAGCAAAAUAUGUUAGAAUUAUGUUUCCAGUGAUCUUGUUGCACAAGGCAAAGCCCAUCCUUCACCGUGUCCAUUCAAUCUAGUACAAUAUACAUCUUGUGUGACUAUACUAACUUUUCUUUUCAAGGAAAUAAAAGUCAUGUGUUCAUUCAGGUACUGGUUCGUGUAGCUAGUUCAAGUGUUUACAUUUCUUAGGCUAUGCAAGUAAUCUUGUUUCCAACAUAGCACUAACUAAUAGCCUUGUUCUGCAGUUACAACAUCAAUAUAUUUUACGGAACUACCAAGCAGGCAGGGAUGCUGCUGCACAAUUCACUGCUCUGCAAUUGGAUUUAUUAAUGGCCUAGCUGAUUUUUAUUUCCCUUUUCGAUAGUCUUCUCUUAAUGAUGAUUCAUUGUAUCUUUUUCCUGAGAUGCAAUUCAUAUGAUGGGUACUACCUCCGUUUCAAUUUACAAGUCUUGCGCGUAUACCUAGGUUGCCAAUUUUAUCACCCUAAUAUAAAUUAUAUAACACAAAAAUUAUACCUUUUGAAAGUAGAAACUCCAAAGUUUAUGUUGGUAUAUUUUUUGUAAUAUAUGACUUGUAUUAGGUUGGUCAAAUUGACGACCUAGGGGUACGCGCACGCCCUGUAAACUGAGAGAGAGGUAGUAUAUAAGUCGGGCACGGAUUUUUAGGUCUUCGAUUUGACCAAGAAAAACAUUUGUAAUAUGCCACAAAAUAUAUAUGCUUAGAAACUAAUCUAAUGUUUUUUUUGGUGACAUAUAGCACAUAUUUUGCUAGUCAACUAAAAACCCGUGCCAGACUUAUAAACCGAACCAGAGGGAGUAUAUCAUGUUGCAAGUUCUUAUCUUGCAGUGUAGUAACCUUCUUCUGUAAAUAUUCCGCAGCUAGCUCAUCUCCAAUUAAGGAGCAAAAAGUGUUUGGUUCAAGGAGAAGGUCCUCUGCCACCGUUCAUGUAGGAUAGGAAUGUGGCUGCAGGACCAAGUAACCACCUAUGAGAGCAAUGGUGGCACUGCCAUGGGCCAUAGGUAUGUAUUAACAUACUAUUUGAGGCAUGGCAACUACAGGCUACAUAACCAUGGGUAUAGGCUACUAGCAGUUUGAACUGAUUCUCAAAAAUAGAACCAGCAUUUUUUUACUAGCUAGCUAGUGUCAGUUUUAGCUUUCAUUCAGAUGGCAAAACAUAAUGAUGUGUGUAUAUAUCUAUCUAAGCCUAGGGGUGCAACAGCAACAGAAGACCAAGUUCCUUGGACCAAACUUAAUUGCCACCAAACAACUUGGACUAAUCCAAUUAUUAAUAACAAGCACCAUAGACCAUCAAUCGCCACACCAGGUACAGUAGAAUACAGAUCAUCAACCUGUGGCCAUAUAAGAGAAAGUAAUCAGACAAGAUCACAAAACAAAAGCCUAGAAAAGGGGGUGAUCUGAUCCUCAUGUCCACACAAUAAUUAUUCAAACAGUUCAGAAAAUUGAUAGUCAUACAAAAUAUAUAACAUGAUUUUUACAAGGAACAAGUAGUGUGUUUUUAAAAUAAUAAUUGAAUAGUUUGUAGCAGAUUUCUCUGCAUUGUGCAUGACGGAUUAGAGACCAGCAGUACAUUUCACCAAAGAAGAACAACUAGGAAAGCUCCACUGAUACACAAAUCUAUGCUGAAUAUCUAGUAAUUUGAGAAGCAACAACACUGUAGAAACACACAUGAACAUGAAUUCUCAGAUGGCGCUUGCUGCUAUGGUGACUAACAGUGAUCCGUAUGGUAGUGGUUGAUUGCAUGCCUGAAUGCAUUUUACCGAGAGCAAGAGAAUGCCAGUAUAUGCAUAUGUGGUGUUAUGACAAAGUGCAAUGUGUCACAGAUACAUACUUCACACAUGUUCUGAAUUCUGAUGCCAUGCUACUACAACACCAAUACAAUCUUCAGGGGAUAUUACAUGAGAAAUCAAUUCUCUCAUGUGCUAGUCGCACCGGCUUGAAGAAUAAGGGUUUGUCUUGCUGCUGCUAAUGGAGAUUACACAUGGAUUAGAAGAAGAAUCGCCUUUUGAUUUUUGUGAUCGACAAUCACAUGAUAUACACGGUUGAUUCUUUUCAACUGAAAGUUCUGGAAUUUUGGAAUUACAAAUAACUCAGUGUAUAGUUGUAUAUCAAAAUCAUACAUGGAUCAAAUGCAAAAUGAAAGCUGAUGUCCAGUCACAUAUCCAAGCAAAAGAUUAAUUCAGCAUGACAAGAAGUGCUUCAUAAGUAAGGCCAGUGCUUCGUAAUUACAUCUACAGACAAAACAUAAGGCAAAAAGCAUGCCUGUUUAAUGACCAUUUUCAUUAACUUUCACUUGUGAAAUUUAGUACUAGUAUGGAGUCACAGGCUCCUAGUCCUACCAAACUUCACAAAACUACCCUACAGUUUGCUCAAAUCCAGAAAUAAAAACAUUAUAUUGCAGUCCCGAGCAACAAAUCCACAACGAAAAUUCGUGAAUCUACAAGUUUUCCCAACAAAUUGUGAAACACACCAGAUUCAAACCUCACACAUCAGCAACAGCAGAAAGUAUUGUGCGCAUCAAGAAUAUGACCCAUAAAUUAAGGAAGGGGGAGAAGGCAGAAGCUAACCAGUGGGCGGUAGAGGGAGGGGGCGGACACAGAAGAUGGUUCGUUACAGCGCCAUCGCCUGGAUCGAUGUGCCGCCGUCGUCGUCGCCUCAGUGUCUUUGGCGCUCCAGAGAAUGGGAGGGGAGUAAGCUGUGCUCUAGGGAGGGAGGAGAGGGAGGGUCGGCGAGGAAGUAC
rnacentral:lncRNA from 1 species